ensembl:lncRNA
AUUUUAUUAUAAAUGUUUAUCUUGAAUGAAUAAGAACAUGAUAUAAAGAAACACUGUGUUAAAUGCCAAGGAGGAGCCAUGUCUUAUCAAAUAGUAACAUAUUAUAAAGUCAUAAUAUUGCUAAUAUAGGAAUAGGUACCUGGAAAAUCCCAUGGAUAGAGGAUCCUGGUGGGCUACAGUCUAUGGGGUCAUAAAGAGUCAGACAUGACUGAAGUGACUUAGCACAGCACAGCACAGACAUUGAUUAUGAUCGUUGUGGCCAAAGAUAUAUAGAGCUAUAUAGAGCUCUAUAUAGUCAGUAAAAACAAGACCUGGAGCUGACUGGAUCAGGUUCAGAACCACUGCAGACAGUGAAUGCAGUCAUGAAAUUAAAAGACACUUUCUCCCUGGAAGAAAAGAUAGAAGCAUUUGGAUUUGAACGUGGAUUUUCCCUGCCACAGCUUCCUACCUGCAUGGACAAGAGAAACCUGGCAUGGAAUGGGGGCCUUAACGAUGACGACCUGAGUCAACAGAAAUGAUACACUAGACGGAGAACCAGGAGGAAGUGAGGCUGCUAGAGUUCGCUUCUACAGAUUUUCCUCAACGUCUGCUGGUCCUCGACUGAAUACUAAUACUAAACAAUGGGAACUGAAGAGUUGACUGGAAACCAAGAGAACCCCAUGAAGUGUGUCAACCAUGGGUCUUCUGAGAGAUGAUUGAAAUUUCACUGUGGAAAAAUACCAACAUACAUAUCUU